AUCCGGAGUUUCACUCCAAACCAUGUGAACAUUACCUCUAUGUUGCUUCGGCGGAGCCGCCCCGGCGCCCGGAACCCCCUGCGGUCCCGCGGCCCGGAACCAAGGCGCCCGCCGGAGGCCACAAACUCUUCUGUUUUUACAGUUUCUUCUGAGUGUGCCGCAAGGCAGUAUACAAAUGAAUCAAAACUUUCAACAACGGAUCUCUUGGUUCUGGCAUCGAUGAAGAACGCAGCGAAAUGCGAUAAGUAAUGUGAAUUGCAGAAUUCAGUGAAUCAUCGAAUCUUUGAACGCACAUUGCGCCCGCCAGAAUUCUGGCGGGCAUGCCUGUUCGAGCGUCAUUUCAACCCUCGAGCUCCCCUUUCGGGGGGAGCCCGGCGUUGGGGACCCGGCGCUAACAACGCCGGCCCCGAAAUGGAGUGGCGGCCCGUCCGCGGCGACCUCUGCGUAGUAACAACCACUCGCACCGGGACCCGGGCGCGGCCACGCCGUAAAACACCCCACCUUCCGAAUGUUGACCUCGAAUCAGGUAGGAAUACCCGCUGAACUUAAGCAUAUCAAUAAGCGGAGGAA
rnacentral:rRNA from 1 species